CAGUGUGCCGUUGAUAUGACAAGCCAUGAGCAUCUCAAUGCCACCCAGAAACUUGCCACCCACAAAGAUGGCGGGGACUGGCUGCUGCCCGUCCGAUGCAAGCUGGAAGAGGACUGCCUGGAUGUCAGGACCAGCGAAGUGGUGGUCCAGCUCCACGAUGGUGGGGCCAACCCCAAGGCCAAAGAGGAGACGCUUGGCCACGGUGCACAUGCAGCACCCGCUCAUACUGAACAACACCACUGCGUUACUCGAAGCCAGAUGCCUCACGACCUCGUAUGGGUUGUCGAAAUGGUUCACUCCUUUUGACGUUGGAGGCUCGCUGUUGAUAGCCACACUGCUCGCCAUUCGGAUUCCCGAAGAUUUCUUUGCCACCUGCAUCUUUUUGCUCAAAAGCGUUCUUCUAAAGCAAAAGAUAUUAAUUUAGUGAGAGCAAGAAACGUAAAGACUGAUGAUUUCUUAAAUCUCUGAUGUGUGUGUCAAAGACCCGAAGUAGCCAGAGACAGAGAUCGAUCACGAAACAAAGAAGAAAAUGGAGGAUUUUGUAGGGAUCACUUGAAGUAAAAGAAACAAAAACAGUGACACACAGUGUUCUUUAUCGCAAAGCACAACGCUAAAACUAAUUAGAAAACUGGAUGAUGAAGACCUAGGGGUAG
rnacentral:misc_RNA from 1 species